UAGGGAAUCUUCCGCAAUGGACGCAAGUCUGACGGAGCAACGCCGCGUGAGUGAAGAAGGAUUUCGGUUCGUAAAACUCUGUUGUUAGAGAAGAACAGCGCAUAGAGUAACUGUUAUGCGUGUGACGGUAUCUAACCAGAAAGCCACGGCUAACUACGUGCCAGCAGCCGCGGUAAUACGUAGGUGGCAAGCGUUGUCCGGAUUUAUUGGGCGUAAAGCGAGCGCAGGCGGUCAAUUAAGUCUGUGGUGAAAGCCCCCGGCUCAAUCGGGGAGGGUUAUUGGAAACGAGUUGACUGGAGUGCAGAAGAGGGGAGUGGAAUUCCAUGUGUGGCGGUGAAAUGCGUAGAUAUAUGGAGGAACACCAGUGGCGAAGGCGACUCUCUGGUCUGUAACUGACGCUGAGGUAAGAAAGCGUGGGUAGCAAGCAGG
rnacentral:rRNA from 1 species